GAGCACGUAGGUGGGUUUGUAAGUCAGAUGUGAAAGCCUUCUGUUCAACGGAAGAAUUGCAUCUGAAACUGCGAGUCUUGAGUGUAGGAGGGGAGAGUGGAACUUCUGGUGGAGCGGUGAAAUGCGUAGAUAUCAGAAGGAACUCCGGCGGCGAAAGCGACUCUCUGGCAUAUUACUGACACUCAGUGUGCGAAAGCUAGGGGAGCAAACGGGAUUAGAUACCCCGGUAGUCCUAGCCGUAAACGAUGGGCACUAAGUAGAGGGGUUUU
rnacentral:rRNA from 1 species